rnacentral:lncRNA from 1 species
AUGUAUGAAAUUCUUAGUACAGUGCCUGGAGUGAUUGCUGGUUUGCUGCUACUUGAACUGGCAUGCUACAUAUGUCUCCUGGACAUACUUUCAGAUCCAGGACUGUUUCAUAUGAACAUGGAAGAACAGAUCCCCAGUCAUCUCAGGACUCCUCAGAAAUGGUUAUUCUGAUUGUGGGACCAGAGUAAAUUCUCCAAGGCUGAGGCCUCAGACCCACCUCUGCAACAGGAGUAACCUUUCCUUCUUUACUCUGUCUUAUAGAACUUUGUACGGAAAUCAACUAUGUAACUUAUCAUUGAGAGGCUCCAAAAAGUAGAGAAUAAAAGUAAGAUUUAGAAACAGAGAAUAAUGUGUGCAAAUCAAACUCUGCCACUCACAGAAUAAUGCCAUUUAAAGGCAUAAUUUGAUCAUGCUAAAACAACCUAUAAAAUAACAAAGUUACAGAUAAGCCAACAAAGGAGAUAAAAAUGAAUAAUAAAAUCCAAUUAGUUAUUAAUAAAAGGAAGGAAGAAAGACGUAAAAUGAAACAAAGAGGAGAAGGAUUAAAUAGGAAAAUAACAAUACGAUAAUU